rnacentral:rRNA from 1 species
CGGGAGUAAUGUCUGGGAAACUGCCUGAUGGAGGGGGAUAACUACUGGAAACGGUAGCUAAUACCGCAUAACGUCGCAAGACCAAAGAGGGGGACCUUCGGGCCUCAUGCCAUCAGAUGUGCCCAGAUGGGAUUAGCUAGUAGGUGGGGUAACGGCUCACCUAGGCGACGAUCCCUAGCUGGUCUGAGAGGAUGACCAGCCACACUGGAACUGAGACACGGUCCAG